rnacentral:rRNA from 1 species
UACGUAGGUGGCAAGCGUUGUCCGGAUUUACUGGGCGUAAAGGGCGUGCAGGCGGUCUGUUAAGUGCAGGGUGAAAGCUCCCGGCUCAACUGGGAGAGGUCCUUGCAUACUGGCGGACUUGAGGGGGGUAGAGGAAAGUGGAAUUCCCGGUGUAGUGGUGAUAUGCGUAGAUAUCGGGAGGAACAACUGUGGCGAAGGCGGCUUUCUGGGCCCUACCUGACGCUGAGACGCGAAAGCGUGGGGAGCGAACCGG